GUAGGUGAACCUGCGGAAGGAUCAUUUUUUGGAUGGGGUGGUGGAAUGGAGAUUUUGGGGGAGUAAGAAAGACGAGGUGGGCACUCGUGGUUUUUGACUUUGGACGCAACACAAGGGAUCGCUGGGCUCGU
rnacentral:misc_RNA from 1 species